GACGAACGCUGGCGGCGUGCUUAACACAUGCAAGUCGAACGGAAAGGCCCUGCUUUUGUGGGGUGCUCGAGUGGCGAACGGGUGAGUAACACGUGAGUAACCUGCCCUUGACUUUGGGAUAACUUCAGGAAACUGUGGCUAAUACCGGAUAGGAGCUCCUGCUGCAUGGUGGGGGUUGGAAAGUUUCGUCGGUUGGGGAUGGACUCGCGGCUUAUCAGCUUGUUGGUGGGGUAGUGGCUUACCAAGGCUUUGACGGGUAGCCGGCCUGAGAGGGUGACCGGCAAAAUUGGGACUGAGAUACGGCCAAGACUCCUACGGGAGGAAGCAGUGGGGAAUAUUGAAAAAUGGGCGGAAGCCUGAUGCAGCAACGCCGCGUGCGGGAUGACGGCCUUCGGGUUGUAAACCGCUUUCGCCUGUGACGAAGCGUGAGUGACGGUAAUGGGUAAAGAAGCACCGGCUAACUACGUG
rnacentral:rRNA from 1 species